UACAGAGGUCCCAAGCGUUGUUCGGCUUCACUGGGCGUAAAGGGUGCGUAGGUGGUGAGGUAAGUCGGAUGUGAAAGCUCGGAGCUCAACUCCGAAAUGGCAUUGGAAACUACCUUGCUCGAGGGUUGGAGGGGGGACUGGAAUACUUGGUGUAGCAGUGAAAUGCGUAGAUAUCAAGUGGAACACCAGUGGCGAAGGCGAGUCCCUGGACAACUCCUGACACUGAGGCACGAAAGCUAGGGGAGCAAACAGG
rnacentral:rRNA from 1 species